rnacentral:lncRNA from 1 species
UACAAGAACAAAAACAACAAAUGAUCACAGGAAAGCAAAUGCCAACUUACAGGGACUUAUAAUUGCAACCUCACAUACAAAUCAAACAGAUCAAAUUAUGAUCACAGGAAAGCAGAUGCCAACUUACAGGGACUUAUAACUGCAACCUCACAAGCAAACAAACAAAGCAACAGAAGAUAUGAGUGACCAAUGAGAUCUUACACUCUAUCCUUCCAUAUCAUAG